rnacentral:rRNA from 1 species
AUACGUAGGGUGCGAGCGUUAUCCGGAAUCAUUGGGCGUAAAGAGCUCGUAGGCGGUUCAGCAAGUCGGCUGUGAAAGUCCGAGGCUCAACCUCGGAACUGCAGUCGAUACUGCUGUGACUCGAGUCCGGUAGAGGAGAAUGGAAUUCCCGGUGUAGCGGUGAAAUGCGCAGAUAUCGGGAGGAACACCAGUAGCGAAGGCGGUUCUCUGGGCCGGUACUGACGCUGAGGUGCGAAAGCGUGGGGAGCAAACAGGAUUAGAAACCCGGGUAGUCC